AGGAAGGCAAAGGGGGGUCCCCCAAAAAUGGUGGGGGUCCCCGGAGGAAGGGGGGGCCCCCCCUGGGUGGGACGGUGCGUUUGGGGGGGCGGGAGUUCAGCGGGAAGAGGCUGGAAGCCUUCGGCCUCAACCCCCGCCGGCUCCGCUUCCGGCAGCUGCGGCGGAGGGGGAAAAAUAGCGGGAAUAGCGGGGAAAAUACUGGGAAAAAUAGCGGGAAAAAUAGUGGAAAUAGCGGGGAAAAUACUGGGAAAAAUAGCGGGAAUAGCGGGGAAAAUAGCGGGAAUAGCAGGGAAAAUACUGGGAAAAAUACCAGGAAAAAUAGCGGGAAAAAUAGCGGGAAUACCAGGGAAAAUACUGGGAAAAAUACCAGGAAAAAUAGUGGGAGUAGCGGGGAAAAUACUGGGAAAAAUAGCGGGAAAAAUAGCGGGAAUAGCGGGGAGAAUACUGGGAAAAAUACCAGGAAAAAUAGUGGGAAUAGCGGGGAAAAUACUGGGAAAAAUAGCAGGAAUAGCAGGGAAAAUAGCAGGAAAAAUACCGGGAAUACUGGGGAAAAUACUGGGAAAAAUACCAGGAAAAAUAGUGGGAAUAGUGGGGAAAAUACUGGGAAAAAUAGCAGGAAUAGCAGGGAAAAUAGCAGGAAAAAUACCGGGAAUACUGGGGAAAAUACUGGGGAAAAUACCGGGAAUACCAGGGAAAAUAGCGGGAAAAAUACUGGGAAAAAUACCAGGAACACUGGGAAAAAUACCGGGAAAAACCCAGGGAAAAAUCCUGGGAACAUGGAGAAAAAUCCUGGGAAAAACACCGGGAACACGGAGAAAAAUCCUGGGAUCACCGGGAGAAAUUCUGGAAACAAGGAGAAAAAUCCUUGGAAAAGCACCGAGAAAAAUCCUGGGAAAAACCUCGGGAACACCGGGAUAACAGCAGCCGUCAAUGGGAAAAAACAGAAACGCAGGAAAAAUGCCCCAAACCCUCAGGAA
rnacentral:lncRNA from 1 species